UGGGGAAUAUUGCACAAUGGAGGGAACUCUGAUGCAGCAACGCCGCGUGCGGGAUGACGGCCUUCGGGUUGUAAACCGCUUUCAGCCAUGACGAAGCUUUUGUGACGGUAGUGGUAGAAGAAGCACCGGCUAACUACGUGCCAGCAGCCGCGGUGAUACGUAGGGUGCGAGCGUUGUCCGGAAUUAUUGGGCGUAAAGAGCUUGUAGGCGGUUUGUCGCGUCGAUAGUGUAAACACGCAGCUUAACUGUGUGCCUGCUGUCGAUACGGGCUGACUAGAGGAGGGUAGGGGAGAAUGGAAUUCCCGGUGGAGCGGUGGAAUGCGCAGAUAUCGGGAGGAACACCAGUGGCGAAGGCGGUUCUCUGGACCUUUCCUGACGCUGAGAAUCGAAAGCGUGGGUAGCAAACAGG
rnacentral:rRNA from 1 species